UACGGGAGGUAGCAGUGGGGAAUAUUGCACAAUGGGCGCAAGCCUGAUGCAGCCAUGCCGCGUGUAUGAAGAAGGCCUUCGGGUUGUAAAGUACUUUCAGUCGUGAGGAAGGUGUUAAGGUUAAUAACCUUAGCAAUUGACGUUAGCGACAGAAGAAGCACCGGCUAACUCCGUGCCAGCAGCCGCGGUAAUACGGAGGGUGCGAGCGUUAAUCGGAAUUACUGGGCGUAAAGGGCACGCAGGCGGUUAAUUAAGUUGGAUGUGAAAUCCCCGGGCUUAACCUGGGAAUGGCAUUCAAGACUGGUUAGCUAGAGUCUUGUAGAGGGGGGUUAGAAUUCCAUGUGUAGCGGUGAAAUGCGUAGAGAUGUGGAGGAAUACCGGUGGCGAAGGCGGCCCCUGGACAAAGACUGACGCUCAUGUGCGAAAGCGUGGGGAGCAAACAGGGAUUAGAUACC
rnacentral:rRNA from 1 species